UAAGACGAACCGUGCGAACGUUGUUCGGAAUCACUGGGCUUAAAGGGCGCGUAGGCGGGCAUUCAAGUCCGGGGUGAAAGCCCCCAGCUUAACUGGGGAAGGGCCUUGGAAACUGGAUGUCUCGAGGGAGGUAGGGGCCUGUGGAACUUCGGGUGGAGCGGUGAAAUGCGUUGAUAUCCGAAGGAACGCCGGUGGCGAAAGCGACGGGCUGGACCUCUUCUGACGCUGAGGCGCGAAAGCCAGGGGAGCAAACGGGAUUAGAUACCCCGGUAGUCCUGGCCCUAAACGAUGGGUACUAGGUAGCGGACUAAACAUGGGUUCGCUGCCGAAGCAAAAGUGGUAAGUACCCCGCCUGGGGAGUAUGGUCGCAAGGCUG
rnacentral:rRNA from 1 species